GGGCUUGACAUCCCACGAACCUGCCCGAAAAGGUGGGGUGCCCGCAAGGGAGCGUGGAGACAGGUGGUGCAUGGCUGUCGUCAGCUCGUGUCGUGAGAUGUUGGGUUAAGUCCCGCAACGAGCGCAACCCUCACCCCUGGUUGCCACCGGGUUAAGCCGAGCACUCAAGGGGAACUGCCAGCGUCAAGCUGGAGGAAGGCGGGGAUGACGUCAAGUCAUCAUGCCCCUUACGCCCUGGGCUACACACGUGCUACAAUGGCCAGUACAAAGGGACGCGAGACUGCGAAGUGGAGCUAAUCCCAAAAAGCUGGUCUAAGUUCAGAUUGCAGUCUGCAACUCGACUGCAUGAAGGAGGAAUCGCUAGUAAUCGCGUAUCAGCCCGGCGCGGUGAAUACGUUCCCGGGCCUUGUACACACCGCCCGUCACACCACGAAAGCUGUCUGUACUCGAAGUCGCUGAG
rnacentral:rRNA from 1 species